GGCUUCGUAGCUCAGUCUGGUUAGAGCACUGGACUCUUAAUCCAGGUGUCGCGGGUUCAACUCCCGUCGAGGCCA
rnacentral:tRNA from 1 species